CAUCUGGGCCAUAGUGCCAUAUACACCAUGUGCCGUAUCAUGGAGGAGAGGGCGUAUAUGGAGGAUUCUCCAUUGCUGAGAGGAGCAGUGUUCUCGUAGGAUGGCUCUAUGGGGGGCGCACCGUCUCCCAGCCUUAAAGAACACCCCUACCCUGGUCCUCCCAUCAUUCUAUAAGGUAGGAUCCAGAGAGCAUUUUAAAGGUGCAUUAGAGAAGUUUUUACUUUGACCUCUGACCAACCCCUGACCUUUAACCCCCAGGCGAUGUGGUGUGCCAACGAGAUGGUGUCGUAUGAGAUCGUUCUGUCCAUCACAGACUGAUAAAGAAGUAUGGCAAGGAACUCCAGGUGGUCACAUGGGACAUACUGCUGGGGAUCAUAGAGAGGUUACUACAGCAGAUUCAGUCGAUAGGCAGUGCAGAGCUGAAGUCCAUAGUGUUUGAGUUGCUGACUACAGUGGAGGAGCUCUAUGAGCAGAACGGCUUCCACA
rnacentral:lncRNA from 1 species